AGGAGAGACAGGUUCAGGAAAAAAGGAAAAUGAGAGACAGGUUCAGGAAAAAAGGAAAAGGAGAGACAGGUUCAGGAAAAAAGGAAAAGGAGAGACAGGUUCAGGAAAAAAGGAAAAGGAGAGACAGGUUCAGGAAAAAAGGAAAAGGAGAGACAGGUUCAGGAAAAAAGGAAAAGGAGAGACAGGUUCAGGAAAAAAGGAAAAUGAGAGACAGGUUCAGGAAAAAAGGAAAAGGAGAGACAGGUUCAGGAAAAAAGGAAAAGGAGAGACAGGUUCAGGAAAAAAGGAAAAGGAGAGACAGGUUCAGGAAAAAAGGAAAAGGAGAGACAGGUUCAGGAAAAAAGGAAAAGGG